UCCGAGUGGUUAAGGAGGUGGACUCGAAAUCCACUAGGCUCUGCCUGCGCAGGUUCGAAUCCUGC
rnacentral:tRNA from 1 species